GCAGGGACUGGGCUGGAGUGCAGGGGGAGGAAAAGCCAGGUCCUACCCCUGCCUGGCCCCUGCUUCUGGGGGGACGUGCUGCCCUGGGAGGCAGGGGGACACCCAGAGCCGCUGUUCAUGGAUACAUUCACGGGGGUCAGGUACCUUGCAUAAGGCACCAUCCCAGGACUCACCCUGAAAUGAGCAGAAGCGGGCUUAUGGGGAGUGUGGGGCGAGUCCACCUGCGGAACUCCUCGCCGGAGGAUGUGGUGAAGGUCAGGACUUUAACAGAGUUCAACAAAGAGCUAGAUACAUUCACGGAGAUCAGGACACGACCCUCUCAAACUGAUCUCUGAUCUCCCGGGAUGGAUCUCCAUGCACGGCACCCGGCGCCCCUUUGAGGAAACCGCGUUGAGAAAAGCGAUUCCCGUUCGAGGCUGGAACGGCAGAUCGGUGUGCACCAAGAGCGGAGGGCCCCGGGGUCCCCGACCUCCCGUGCUCCCCGGGCCGGAUCCGGAUCCUGGCUCCCGGAUCUCCAGGGCGUGGAGGGAAGGGAGACCCUUCGAACCAUGGACGCAGGUGAGGCGCGGGCGACCGGGAUGCAGAAGGGUUCGGUCCUGGGUGUGGGGAGUCGGGGGGGUCCCCCAAAAGGUUCCAUGUGCCCCCCAGAAUUGGACCUCGGCUUGCACAUGUCUUCCGCCACCCUGCCCUCUCAGCUUCCCCCGGAUAUCCACCCGGUGCUCGCCUACUAUUCAGCGUUCGGACGGGCGGUGGGGGCGGAACCGGGCCAAGCCCCGCCCCUUCCAGAGCCAAGCCCCGCCCCUUCAGGAGCCAAGCCCCGCCUCCCCCUGUCCUGUUUUCAUGGGUGGUUGAAUGAACCUAGCAGUGAAAAAGGGGACUCUCUAGCCCCGCCUCUUCCACAUGAUGCCCCGCCCCCUUCCAGAGCAAAGCCGCGCCCCUUCCAGAGUCAAGCCCCGCCUUCCCCUGUCCUGUUUUCAUGGGUGGUGGGUGAACCUAGCGCUGGGGGAGUGGACUCCCUAGCCCCGCCUCUUCCAGAGCUAGGCCCCGCCCCUUCUAGAGCUAAGCCCCACCCCCUUCAAGAGCCAAGCCCAUCCCCCCAGGGAAGGUCCCUAACCUAUCACCCCGAAGGAUGGGGAAGGCGGGCAGAACGUGGAGCGGGGGGCGGAGGAUGGGCGGAGCCACGCUUAGCAAAUUAGGAAGGCAGCACCUUCCCCUGCCUCUUAUACCCGCUGUCCCUGCCCGAUCCCCCUUUCCGAGGCCAGGCCCACACGGUGGGGGAAGACCGGCUUCAGCUGUGUCGAAAAACGUGGCUGGAGUCGAUGUACCUCGAGCCCCACUUCGGCACCG